rnacentral:rRNA from 1 species
GACGAACGUUGGCGGCGUGCUUAACUCAUGCAAGUCGAACGGAAAGGCCCUGCUUUUGUGGGGUGCUCGAGUGGCGAACGGGUGAGUAACACGUGAGUAACCUGCCCUUGACUUUGGGAUAACUUCAGGAAACUGGGGCUAAUACCGGAUAGGAGCUCCUGCUGCAUGGUGGGGGUUGGAAAGUUUCGGCGGUUGGGGAUGGACUCGCGGCUUAUCAGCUUGUUGGUGGGGUAGUGGCUUACCAAGGCUUUGACGGGUAGCCGGCCUGAGAGGGUGACCGGCCACAUUGGGACUGAGAUACGGCCCAGACUCCUACGGGAGGCAGCAGUGGGGAAUAUUGCACAAUGGGCGGAAGCCUGAUGCAGCAACGCCGCGUGCGGGAUGACGGCCUUCGGGUUGUAAACCGCUUUCGCCUGUGACGAAGCGUGAGUGACGGUAAUGGGUAAAGAAGCACCGGCUAACUACGUGCCAGCAGCCGCGGUGAUACGUAGGGUGCGAGCGUUGUCCGGAUUUAUUGGGCGUAAAGGGCUCGUAGGUGGUUGAUCGCGUCGGAAGUGUAAUCUUGGGGCUUAACCCUGAGCGUGCUUUCGAUACGGGUUGACUUGAGGAAGGUAGGGGAGAAUGGAAUUCCUGGCGGAGCGGUGGAAUGCGCAGAUAUCAGGAGGAACACCAGUGGCGAAGGCGGUUCUCUGGGCCUUUCCUGACGCUGAGGAGCGAAAGCGUGGGGAGCGAACAGGCUUAGAUACCCUGGUAGUCCACGCUGUAAACGGUGGGUACUAGGUGUGGGGUCCAUUCCACGGGUUCCGUGCCGUAGCUAACGCUUUAAGUACCCCGCCUGGGGAGUACGGCCGCAAGGCUAAAACUCAAAGGAAUUGACGGGGCCCCGCACAAGCGGCGGAGCAUGCGGAUUAAUUCGAUGCAACGCGUAGAACCUUACCUGGGUUUGACAUGGAUCGGGAGUGCUCAGAGAUGGGUGUGCCUCUUUUGGGGUCGGUUCACAGGUGGUGCAUGCCUGUCGUCAGCUCGUGUCGUGAGAUGUUGGGUUAAGUCCCGCAACGAGCGCAACCCUUGUUCACUGUUGCCAGCACGUUAUGGUGGGGACUCAGUGGAGACCGCCGGGGUCAACUCGGAGGAAGGUGGGGAUGACGUCAAGUCAUCAUGCCCCUUAUGUCCAGGGCUUCACGCAUGCUACAAUGGCUGGUACAGAGAGUGGCGAGCCUGUGAGGGUGAGCGAAUCUCGGAAAGCCGGUCUCAGUUCGGAUUGGGGUCUGCAACUCGACCUCGUGAAGUCGGAGUCGCUAGUAAUCGCAGAUCAGCAACGCUGCGGUGAAUACGUUCCCGGGGCU